rnacentral:misc_RNA from 1 species
UCCGGUUUAACACCGGCAGUCUCGCUAGAGUGCCCAGCCGAACUGAUGGCAACUAGUGAUAGGGGUUGCGCUCGUUGUGGGACUUAACCCAACACCUCACGACACGAGCUGACGACAGCCAUGCAGCACCUGUGUACGCGUCCCGAAGGAGGACCGGUGUUUCCACCGGCUUUCACGUACAUGUCAAGCCCAGGUAAGGUUCUUCGCGUCGCAUCGAAUUAAACCACACGCUCCGCUGCUUGUGCGGGCCCCCGUCAAUUCCUUUGAGUUUUAGCCUUGCGGCCGUAGUCCCCAGGCGGUCGACUUAAUGCGUUAGCUGCGGCGCCGAGGGGGUCGAUACCCCCGACACCUAGUCGACAUCGUUUACGGCGUGGACUAC